rnacentral:rRNA from 1 species
AGCGAACGCUGGCGGCAGGCUUAACACAUGCAAGUCGAGCGGGCACUUUCGGGUGUCAGCGGCGGACGGGUGAGUAACGCGUGGGAACGUGCCCUCUGGUUCGGAAUAACUCAGGGAAACUUGAGCUAAUACCGGAUACGCCCUUUUGGGGAAAGGCUUGCUGCCGGAGGAUCGGCCCGCGUCUGAUUAGCUAGUUGGUGAGGUAACGGCUCACCAAGGCGACGAUCAGUAGCUGGUCUGAGAGGAUGAUCAGCCACACUGGGACUGAGACACGGCCCAGACUCCUACGGGAGGCAGCAGUGGGGAAUAUUGGACAAUGGACGCAAGCCUGAUCCAGCCAUGCCGCGUGAGUGAUGAAGGCCUUAGGGUUGUAAAGCUCUUUCAUCCGGGACGAUAAUGACGGUACCGGAGGAAUAAGCCCCGGCUAACUUCGUG